CCCUCCCACCGGAUCCGGCAGAGGGGAGGGCGCCGCCGCCUCUCCCUUUGUGUGCUACCGCCUGCCUCCUCUCCUCCGCCAGAUCCGGCGGAGGGG
rnacentral:pre_miRNA from 1 species